rnacentral:lncRNA from 1 species
GUGUAGAUGGAUAAAUACUAAAGACAUGAGAAUAUAGAUCUAUGAUGAUUGUAGUAUAUGACAUCUUUAUGAUACUUUUGGUUAAACUUUAUGAUUAUGUAUGAAAAGAUCUAAGGGAUUAUGACACAGAGUUUGAUUUAUGACUGGUAAUUUGUGGAUCAUGUUAUGAUUUGUCAGAUGGAUCAUAUUAUGAUUAAUCAGAUUUUGAUUUAAAAUAAUGGUGAGAGGAUUGAUAAUAAAAUUUUAUUGUGCAUUAAGAAUAUUAAUUUGAUCAUCAUUUCAUUAAAUGAAUUACAAGUUCAAAUUUGAUAUGGGAGAAUAUUGU